rnacentral:rRNA from 1 species
UACGUAGGUGGCAAGCGUUGUCCGGAUUUAUUGGGCGUAAAGGGAGCGCAGGUGGUUUCUUAAGUCUGAUGUGAAAGCCCACGGCUUAACCGUGGAGGGUCAUUGGAAACUGGGAAACUUGAGUACAGAAGAGGAAUGUGGAACUCCAUGUGUAGCGGUGGAAUGCGUAGAUAUAUGGAAGAACACCAGUGGCGAAGGCGACAUUCUGGUCUGUUACUGACACUGAGGCUCGAAAGCGUGGGGAGCAAACAGGAUUAGAUACCCUGGUAGUCCACGCCGUAAACGAUGAGUGCUAGGUGUUGGAGGGUUUCCGCCCUUCAGUGCCGCAGUUAACGCAUUAAGCACUCCGCCUGGGGAGUACGUACGCAAGUAUGAAACUC